rnacentral:lncRNA from 1 species
CACAGGGAUUGUUCUGUGGAACAUUGAAGUUUAAACAUUAUUAUGGAGACGCUUUUUACAGAUUGCUAUUCCGAUGGUGGAAACAUUUUCAUCAUCUAUCAUCUCUAUCUUAAAUGAGGUAUAAUCAUAGAACUAUAAAGGAGGAAUAUUUAUUGUGUGAAAUAAAGUGUAAAUGACUAUUAUGUUAUCCUGGUAAAUGACCAGG